AUGGAUCUUCACAAGUUGAAAGGCUCCGUGGACAUGGAUCCCAAGGCUUCAAAGGUGUGUGGACAAAAGCAGCUGAAAGUGAGAGAUAGUAGAAGGCACAGUGCAAGAAGCUGUGGAGGAUGCAAAAGCCAUGAGCGGGUGCGGAGGAAGAAUGGAAAUGAGGGUGAAAAACAUCCCAGUGGACAAACCAUGUCGCUGGAGAGAGGGAUUAACUUAUCUGGGUCAACAUAUGGUCUGGUGGAAAGAGAACAUGCUGAAAGCAUUCCACAAUAUGGCAAAGGAUUUUGUGAUGCUUUUCACAAGACGGCGCCGAAAGCGAAGAAGGAAGCUCCUGCCCCUCCUAAAGCCGAAGCCAAAGCGAAGGCUUUAAAGGCCAAGAAGGCAGUGUUGAAAGGUGUCCACAGCCACAAAAAAAAGAAGAUCCGCACGUCACCCACCUUCCGGGGGCCCAAGACACUGCGACUCCGGAGGCAGCCCAAAUAUCCUUGGAAGAGCGCCCCCAGGAGAAACAAGCUUGACCACUAUGCUAUCAUCAAGUUUCCUCUCACCACUGAGUCUGCCAUGAAGAAGACAGAAGACAACAACCCACUUGUGUUCAUUGUAGAUGUUAAAGCCAACAAGCACCAGAUUAAACAGGCUGUUAAGAAGCUCUAUGACAUUGAUGUGGCCAAGGUCAACACCCUGAUUCGGCCUGAUGGAGAGAAAAAGGCAUAUGUUCGACUGGCUCCUGAUUACGACACUUUGGAUGUUGCCAACAAAAUUGGGAUCAUCUAAACUGAGUCCAGCUGCCUAAUUCU